rnacentral:rRNA from 1 species
CCUACGGGUGGCAGCAGUGGGGAAUAUUGCACAAUGGGGGAAAGCCUGAUGCAGCAACGCCGCGUGGGUGAAGAAGUAUUUCGGUAUGUAAAGCCCUAUCAGCAGGGAAGAGAAUGACGGUACCUGACUAAGAAGCCCCGGCUAACUACGUGCCAGCAGCCGCGGUAAUACGUAGGGGGCAAGCGUUAUCCGGAUUUACUGGGUGUAAAGGGAGCGUAGGUGGCAUUGCAAGUCUGAAGUGAAAGCCCGGGGCUCAACUGCGGAACGGCUUUGGAAACUGUGUAGCUGGAGUGCUGGAGAGGUAAGCGGAAUUCCUGGUGUAGCGGUGAAAUGCGUAGAGAUCAGGAGGAACACCGGCGGUGAAGGCGGCUUACUGGACAGUAACUGACGUUGAGGCUCGAAAGCGUGGGGAGCAAACAGGAUUAGAUACCCGUGUAGUC